rnacentral:rRNA from 15 species
UAUGGUACGGCUAUCGUUCAACGGAUAAGCUACGCUAGGGAUAACAGGGUAAUAGCGCGCGAGAGUUCAUAUCGUAAGCGCUGUUUGCCACCUCGAUGUCGACUCAUCACAUCCUCCUGGUGCACAAGCUGGGAAGGGUUCGACUGUUCGUCGAUUAAAGUGGUACGUGAGUUGGGUUCAAUACGACGUGAGUCAGUAUGGUCCCUAUCUUCUGGUGGGAAAUAUAGAAUACAAGGAACAUCCAGUUAGUACGAAAGGACCAUUGGGUGCACACCUCUGGUGUAUCUGCUAUUGUUUGCAGUCUAUGACUGACAAUGGUACCGCAGAGUAGCUACGUGUGUUAAGGAUAAGAUCUGAAAGCAUAUAAGAUCGAAGCUGUUCUUUAGAAGCUAUAAUGCGACAGGAUGCAGACUACGUCCUUGAUAGGUCACAUGUGUAAACGCUGCAAGGCGUGUUAGCUGAGUGAUACUAAUGAGUCGCUAGACUUG